UAUAGUAUGAUCGGAUGAGAGGAGUUGAUUGAUGUACAAAUCUGAGUUGUUUUCUUCGACAAACUUUAUUUAUUAUCGUCUCGAAAAAUGGCACCCAACCAUUUUGUCAUUUCACGAAGUGGGCAGCCGUUUUAUCAUUUUGCAAGACAUGUGGUGGCUCGCCAUCUCAUAGGAUGUCUAGCAGUUAAUGCUGUGGGUCAUUCGAAGUAGGCUUCCAUAAUGAUUACAGAAGAUCGGAUGGCAGAGGUAUGAUUCUCAAGUAGUCUGAGUCAACCACGUGUCAGAUGAUUAUUUGUUCAGUCAGUUUUUACAAGGAUUUGGCUUAUUUGGUGAGAUCACAAUAGUGGUACAUCAAAGAGUCAAGAGAAUAAUUGGUUGGGAUUAUAGUCAUAUGUCAGAAUCUCCGAGGAUGGAAGGAUUUUCUACAUUGAUCGUGGCUGUUGAGUGUGCCUAUAAGUAGGGGGUCUUCUUCUCUUCAAGUUUUCUUCUUCUGAUUUCAGGAUUUCCACCACCAAUCUAGUUCUCUCUAUUUCUGCCUUAGUCACGUAUAGGAUUCAUCCUCCUGGGAGCAUCCCAAGCUUCAUCAUUGUCGGCUUCUUCAUCAUCAUCG
rnacentral:lncRNA from 1 species